rnacentral:rRNA from 1 species
UACGGAGGGGGCUAGCGUUGUUCGGAAUUACUGGGCGUAAAGCGCACGUAGGCGGCUUUGUAAGUUAGAGGUGAAAGCCCGGAGCUCAACUUCGGAAUUGCCUUUAAGACUGCAUCGCUUGAAUCGUGGAGAGGUGAGUGGAAUUCCGAGUGUAGAGGUGAAAUUCGUAGAUAUUCGGAAGAACACCAGUGGCGAAGGCGGCUCACUGGUCCGGUACUGACGCUGAGGUGCGAAAGCGUGGGGAGCAAACAGG